GACGAACGCUGGCGGCGUGCUUAACACAUGCAAGUCGAGCGGGGCGGCGAACGGGUGAGUAACUCGUGAGUAACUGCCCCCCUCUCUGGGAUAGCAGUUGAAAACGGCUGCUAAUACCUACUAGUGGGGGAUGACUCGCGGCCUAUCCGCUUGUUGGUGGGGUAGUGGCGUACCACGGCGACGACGGGUAGCCGGCCUGAGAGGGCGAACGGCCACAUUGGGCUGAGAUACGGCCCAAACUCAUACGGGAGGCAGGAGUGGGGAAUAGUGCACAAUGGGGGAAACCAGGAUGCAGCAACGCCGGGUGCGGGAUGACGGCUGUCGGGUUGUAAACCGCUUUCAGCCAGGACGCGGUAGUGGAAGAAGAAGCACCGGCUAACUACGUGCCAGCAGCCGCGGUAAUUC
rnacentral:rRNA from 1 species